rnacentral:rRNA from 1 species
GAUGAACGCUAGCGGGAGGCCUAACACAUGCAAGCCGAGCGGUAUUGUUUCUUCGGAAAUGAGAGAGCGGCGUACGGGUGCGGAACACGUGUGCAACCUGCCUUUAUCUGGGGGAUAGCCUUUCGAAAGGAAGAUUAAUACUCCAUAACAUAUUGAUUGGCAUCAAUUAAUAUUGAAAGCUCCGGCGGAUAGAGAUGGGCACGCGCAAGAUUAGCUAGUUGGUGAGGUAACAGCUCACCAAGGCGAUGAUCUUUAGGGGGCCUGAGAGGGUGAUCCCCCACACUGGUACUGAGACACGGACCAGACUCCUACGGGAGGCAGCAGUGAGGAAUAUUGGUCAAUGGGUGCAAGCCUGAACCAGCCAUCCCGCGUGAAGGACGACUGCCCUAUGGGUUGUAAACUUCUUUUGUAUAGGGAUAAACCUACCCUCGUGAGGGUAGCUGAAGGUACUAUACGAAUAAGCACCGGCUAACUCCGUGCCAGCAGCCGCAGUAAGAC